CAAGACAUCCCUUAUCCAAACCAUUCUUGAAUCACCUCAAUCCUGGCUUUCCCUUGGAACUCUGUCCGAAUCUACCAACACCAACUGGCUGGCAGCUCAGGAAGAUUCCAGAGAGCCAAGCAGAGUCGUAAAAUCUGGCCUAGGUCUCCCUGAACAUAUUCAAAACCUGGCCUUCCAGGCAAGUGUACACUGUUCUGAGAUGGUUUACGGAGAUGCGGACCGGGUCAGAUACUCUUGGACCUGGGCAUGCAUUACCUGCCACCUUAAUGGUGAAGCAGAAUGGCCAGGACCCGGGUUAAAAUGUACAGUUCACACUGUGUAUAUCCAUCGUCCUGCUUACAAAGCAUUUUUCUCUUUAAAUCAUCUCAUGGAAGCCUCACAACAACCUUUGUGAUCUGGUCAAACACCUGUAAUUCAUGUUUUAUUGGUGGGUAAACAGAGGUUCAGAGAUAAGGGGUAUUUGGGCCAGGAUCACUCGGUAGACGGUAGAAACCAGAACAUAAAAGCCAGAUCUUCUCAGGAGUUCACGCUGUGGUGUCCGGUCAGCUUGCCAGUGAGUCACUGCCAUCCUCCUUUCUUAGAAACCAUGAUUCACUUGCACCAAAAGCCUGAAAACAAAGGAGAAGGAAUCCAGAACCUGAAUUACGGAGCAGGAAGUGUAACGCACGAGGAGACCAGGCCACAGGACCAGUGGGCAAGUGGUUCCGAGACCCACCCUUACACCUGGUUCUCCAAAGGACGAGAACCCUGGGGCCCCAGCAGCUGAGCCAUGGGCUAGAAAGUGGUACCAGGACUCCUGUUUGAGAUGGGUCAGAAAAGACGUUAAUGGACCAGCCGUAAUUUAUACACAGGAAAUGGCAGAACAAGCGACAAAAUCCAGGUGCCAUGGCCUCAGGUAAGACCCAUUGCUAUAAACCUGUGUGGCACCCCUUUCGUAAUCCUAGAGCUUGUUAAAAGAACUCCCAAUGGUUCUGGUAUCAGGGGACUGUGUGCUUUAGAUGAGUCCUACCUUAGUAGCAGGAAUGUGAAUCCUGACUAGUUUUAAGUCAAUCACCAGGCCAGGUACUGUUGUGGGAUUGGACAAUGACAUAAUCAUGGCCAGUAGCACAUGGGGGUUCCGUUGCUUAAUCUUCUGGAAAACACUUUCCUUGCUUUUAAAAAAGGGUCACAAGUAGUAGUUUCUCUUUUUAAGGACUUGUAUAUUUUGUAAGGAUUUGAGAAAAGACCAAGGACACAGGCAACAUCUGAUGACCAAGUAAAAAAUGCAAAGAACUUGUGCUCUUGAUCUUUUUUGAUACUAAACUGACUACUCUGGAAGCUCCUUAUCUUGUUACAAGAGAUAUUCAUGUUCCUUACAGUUGAAGCCACUUUUACCUGCAUCUUCUAACACUUAACAGUCAAAAGUACCCAAAUGACUGCUCAGUCACUAGCUCCUGCGUGUUUCUCUGAGGUCUACAAGCAUGGUCUGUGGGUGGCGGAGUAGGAGCACUAGACUCGGGUUCAAAUGCGCUUCAUUACCUGUGUUUGGGUAAAACACGCUCAGCCUCAUGUUCAUCAUCUGUAAAAUUAUGAUUAUGCUUAUUCCACAGAGUAGUAAAAACUAAAAUGAAUAAUGUAAGGGAAAGCGUUUCAUAUGCAAAUGUAGGUUCUUUUUAUCAGAAGAUGCUUUAAGAUGAAUUUAGAGGCUCCAACUUUGCUCCGAUGUCCAAAUUUUGACAGUGUUUUCACUCAUGUCUUAACAUUAACAAUGGCAUUACUGAAAUGACGGGAGCCAGGCAACGGCUGGGGGCACCACCAGGAAGAGCAGGAUCCGGACCGGCUCCCUGAGCUCAGCAGAGAGUAUCCGACCCAGCAUCUUCCACGGGACAGGAUGUACCUGGGUGCCUGGACCACUUGUAUCACUGGUUUCCAUGCUAUUUUGAAGCGUUUUCAAUUUCUGAGGCAUCUUUAAUUUUAAUUCCGCUUGCUGACUGGUUUUGGCGUAGCAGACAGCUGUAUAUAAACCUGUACAUCAGUCGUUUAAGCAUAAUACAACAGAAACUUCACAUAUUUAUUUUGUUCUUGAUGUGAGUUUUAAGUGUAAAAAUUGGAUACAUUUACAAAAUAGUCUUUCUUGGGUUUUGGAUAAUACCUAUCUCAAAAAAGCCAAAAAUAAAAACCAAAAACCUCACCACCAGAAAUAUAAA